UUUUAAAAAAGUAAAGAACACUAAAACCUCCUCUAAUUUUCCAACGUAAUUCUUGCCUAAAAGACAUCGAACCCCUAGUUCUCUAUUCCUAAAAGUACUGUCCAAAAGAUCCGGCAAACUAGUCCCAAUAGCUCUAGCGAUGGCGACAUCUCCGGCAAGGGCGCAAGGCCAUAUCUCUGGCAAAGCACACGCCUUUCGAAAGCUUCUUCUCGUUGAUGUUAGCCACAAGCCCUAACCGAAGUCACUGAAUCCGGCAAAUAGAGAAGACGCCGAGUCAAGAAAACACCCUUGCCACUUCUCUAAAGCUUCCUCCUCACGCACAGCAAUGGGAUCUGGUUAGAGCCGGACGAAUGGAGAAAACCCAGUAGGAAUUGCUUCUUAGAUCGUCUGUAAAACCCUCGUCGCUAGGACUUAGGGUACCAAGGUGAAGAAAAUGAACUAGGUAUAGACAAAAGGCAUCAAGACCUUAAGAUUAUUAGUUGACAGUUGCAAGGUCUUUAGAUGUUCUAGGAAUUUUUUAUUUUAGAAGUUUUUGCAAACUUAUGUAUGGUAACUCUUGAAUUUAUCAAAUAAUAUUCUCUUUUUUGCUUUAUACUGCAUGAAUAGUACUAGUUGGAUAA